CGGGGUUGGGAGUGGCGCACGGCUGAGGAACACGUGGGUGACCUGCCCUGGUGUGGGGGACAACGUACCGAAAGGUGCGCUAAUCCCGCAUACGCUCCUACGGGAGGAAAGCAGCGAUGCGCACCAGGAGGGGCCUGCGGCCCAUCAGGUGGUUGGUGAGGUAACGGCUCACCAAGCCGAUGACGGGUCCCUGGUCUGAGAGGACGACCAGGCAGACUGGGACUGAGACACGGCCCAGACUCCUACGGGAGGCAGCAGCAAGGGAUUUUCCGCAAUGGGCGCAAGCCUGACGGAGCAACGCCGCGUGCCGGAGGACGGCCUUCGGGUUGUAAACGGCUUUUAUCGGGGAAGAAACGGACGGUACCCGAGGAAUAAGCCCCGGCUAACUCCGUGCCAGCAGCCGCGGUAAUACGGAGGGGGCAAGCGUUGUCCGGACUUACUGGGCGUAAAGCGUGCGUAGGCGGCAGGGUGCGUCGGUGCUGAAAGCGCCCCGCUUAACGGGGCGAGGGGUACCGAUACGACCCCGCUCGAGGCAGUCAGAGGUUGGUAGAAUUCCGGGUGUAGUUGUGAAAUGCGUAGAUACCCGGAGGAAUGCCGGUGGCGAAAGCGACCAACUGGGGCUGGCCUGACGCUUAGGCACGACAGCGUGGGGAGCGAACCGGAUUAGAUACCCGGGUAGUCCACGCC
rnacentral:rRNA from 1 species